CAUAUUUUUAAAACAACCCUUCCGGAAUACCAGCUGUGACAUUGUUCUCCCAUAUGUUCACAACAGCAAAAAUGGCUGGAAGCAGAAAAACUAGUAUUUAGCUAGAUUGCAGGAUAUAAUCUACCCUGGCAUGUUCGUGAGAACAGAUCCCGGAGCUUAGCUCCGGGGUCUCAUCUGAAUGCCUUGGUGGUUCGCUUCCUGGAGACAA
rnacentral:snoRNA from 1 species